rnacentral:rRNA from 1 species
ACCCCAGACUCCUACGGGAGGCAGCAGUGAGGAAUAUUGGUCAAUGGCCGAGAGGCUGAACCAGCCAAGUCGCGUGAGGGAAGAAUGUCCUAUGGAUUGUAAACCUCUUUUGUCAGGGAGCAAAGUCACCCACGUGUGGGUGUUGGAGAGUACCUGAAGAAAAAGCAUCGGCUAACUCCGUGCCAGCAGCCGCGGUAAUACGGAGGAUGCGAGCGUUAUCCGGAUUUAUUGGGUUUAAAGGGUGCGUAGGCGGGCUGUUAAGUCGGCGGUCAAAUGGCGGGGCUCAACCCCGCCCUGCCGUUGAAACUGGCGGCCUCGAGUGGGCGAGAAGUAUGCGGAAUGCGUGGUGUAGCGGUGAAAUGCAUAGAUAUCACGCAGAACUCCGAUUGCGAAGGCAGCAUGCCGGCUCCACACUGACGCUGAGGCACGAAAGCGUGGGUAUCGAACAGGAUUAGAUACCCGAGUA